GAUGAACGCUGGCGGUAUGCUUAACACAUGCAAGUCGAACGGACUCUUCGGAGUUAGUGGCGGACGGGUGAGUAACGCGUGAGAAUCUGGCUUUGGGUUCGGGACAACCACUGGAAACGGUGGCUCAUACCGGAUGUGCCGAGAGUUAAAAGAGAAAUUGCCUGAAGAUGAGCUCGCGUCUGAUUAGCUAGUUGGUGAGGUAAAGGCUCACCAAGGCAGCGAUCAGUAGCUGGUCUGAGAGGAUGACCGGCCACACUGGGACUGAGACACGGCCCAGACUCCUACGGGAGGCAGCAGUGGGGAAUGAUCCGCAAAGGGCGAAAGCCUGACGGAGGAAUACCGCGUGAGGGAAGAAGGCACUUGGGUUGAAAACCUCUUUGCUUAGGGAAGAACAAAAUGACGGUACCUAAGGAAGAAGCAUCGGCUAACUCCGUG
rnacentral:rRNA from 1 species